AUUGAACGCUGGCGGCAUGCUUUACACAUGCAAGUCGAACGGUAACAGGCCUUCGGGUGCUGACGAGUGGCGAACGGGUGAGUAAUGCAUCGGAACGUACCCAGAGGUGGGGGAUAACGCAGCGAAAGCUGUGCUAAUACCGCAUGUGAUCUGAGGAUGAAAGCGGGGGACCGAGCAGCAAUGUUUGGCCUCGCGCCUUUGGAGCGGCCGAUGUCGGAUUAGCUGGUUGGUGGGGUAAAGGCCUACCAAGGCGACGAUCCGUAGCUGGUCUGAGAGGACGACCGGCCACACUGGGACUGAGACACGGCCCAGACUCCUACGGGAGGCAGCAGUGGGGAAUUUUGGACAAUGGGCGCAAGCCUGAUCCAGCAAUGCCGCGUGCGGGAAGAAGGCCUUCGGGUUGUAAACCGCUUUUGGCAGGAACGAAACGGUGUCCGCUAAUACCGGGCGCUAAUGACGGUACCUGCAGAAUAAGCACCGGCUAACUACGUG
rnacentral:rRNA from 1 species